CCUACGGGAGGCAGCAGUGGGGAAUAUUGCACAAUGGGGGAAACCCUGAUGCAGCGACGCCGCGUGAGUGAAGAAGUAUUUCGGUAUGUAAAGCUCUAUCAGCAGGAACGAGACAAGACGGUACCUGACUAAGAAGCCCCGGCUAACUACGUGCCAGCAGCCGCGGUAAUACGUAGGGGGCAAGCGUUAUCCGGAAUCACUGGGUGUAAAGGGAGCGUAGACGGCUGAGCAAGCCUGAAGUGAAAGGCGGGGGCCCAACCCCUGGACUGCUUUGGGAACUGUACGGCUGGAGUGCAGGAGAGGUAAGUGGAAUUCCUAGUGUAGCGGUGAAAUGCGUAGAUAUUAGGAGGAACACCAGUGGCGAAGGCGGUUUACUGGACUGUAACUGACGUUGAGGCUCGAAAGCGUGGGGAGCAAACAGGAUUAGAUACCCGGGUAGUC
rnacentral:rRNA from 1 species